rnacentral:rRNA from 1 species
AUUGAACGCUGGCGGCAGGCCUAACACAUGCAAGUCGAGCGGAUGAAGGGAGCUUGCUCCUGGAUUCAGCGGCGGACGGGUGAGUAAUGCCUAGGAAUCUGCCUGGUAGUGGGGGAUAACGUCCGGAAACGGGCGCUAAUACCGCAUACGUCCUGAGGGAGAAAGUGGGGGAUCUUCGGACCUCACGCUAUCAGAUGAGCCUAGGUCGGAUUAGCUAGUUGGUGGGGUAAAGGCCUACCAAGGCGACGAUCCGUAACUGGUCUGAGAGGAUGAUCAGUCACACUGGAACUGAGACACGGUCCAGACUCCUACGGGAGGCAGCAGUGGGGAAUAUUGGACAAUGGGCGAAAGCCUGAGCCAGCCAUGCCGCGUGUGUGAAGAAGGUCUUCGGAUUGUAAAGCACUUUAAGUUGGGAGGAAGGGCAGUAAGUUAAUACCUUGCUGUUUUGACGUUACCAACAGAAUAAGCACCGGCUAACUUCGU